CGGAGGGAAUAACUGGUCUUCUUGCCAAAGUAGCUGAGACAGUAGAUAGCAUUCUGUCAAUAAAGUUAAAAUAUGAUAGAAAAGCUGGGAAUAGCAAAAGAUACAGAUCAGUAAUCAAGUUGGGAAAAGAACAAUGGAUAAUAUAGGGAACUACCAUUAGCCCAGUCUAGGAGAAGAGAUGUGAUAGCUCCAAGUUUUGAUAAACAUCUGUGUGCAUUCAGGAAGAGUUUUGAGAAGCAGACAACUGCACCUGAGAAAUAAGAUACCUGCCCUAUUAUAGGUUACCAACUCCGCGUGUGAACUAGUGUGAUGUAAUAGAGUAUAGAAUUUGGAGUCAGAAGUCCAGAGUCAAAGCUAAUCUUCAGUGCUUCCUACCUGUGACUUUAGAUGAAGAAACUGAGGUGAAAAAAGUCAUAUGAUCAUAGACCUGAAACUUGAAGCACUCUGAGAGGUCAUCUAAGAUCAACCCUUCAUUUUACAGACGAGGAAACUGAGGCCCAGGAAAUUUCAGUGACUAGGUUCACAGAGUUGGAAGGGACAUUAGAAGAUAAAGGUCAUCCAGUGAAGGCCUCAAGUGAGAAUGCACUACUGCUCAAGACAGUACACUUUGGAAAGUAUCAGUCCUCUUUACAGUUGCCUGAAUAAUCUUGCUCAAAUGCAUCUAAGUCCAUAUGCAAGACAAAAAUCAAGACAAUUGGCAAUGGCCUGGGAGGCAAGUAUUUGAUUUUUAAAGCACCUCUGUGUGUUAUCUUGGCAAAACAAUCUCAACACACCAUUCUGUCAUCUUUUCUGCUCAUUUCUGAAGGCUUUCUAGAUUUAUGAAAAGUUCUGGCUUUGGAAUUAAAAGAUCUGGGCUCUUAAUGCCAACUCUAAAAUUUAUCAUGGUCUUGGGA